CUGAGAGAGACCAAUAAGGGAAAGAGACAGUGGGAAGGGGGGUGGGAGGUUCUUUGACCGAUAUCCACGGUAGCCAAUAAAUGUGGGGGGGUGCUCCCAUUCGUUAAAACGUCUUCCCCAGGGCGGAGAUCCGCUUUCCAUGCAGGAGCGGUUGCUCCACAAGGUGGGGCCCGUGUACUUUGGGGAAGUAAACCCCAAGCAACUAGGAGGAGGGCGCCAGGGUGGCCAAAAGUCCCCGACCAAUCGCAGGGCGGGAAGGAGCUGAUUGACGCGGGGGUUGGACCGCACCAAGGAGACCGAGCACCCGGGCUGCCGUGCCCUCUGGGGCGGUCCUGAAGCUCUCCGGGCCCCGGCUUCUGUCCUUUUUCCUUUACUCACUUGUUGGGUGCGGUCCCUGAGGCCCCCUCUCCCGCCUUUUCCGCGCAGUUUGGUACUAGGGGAACCAGGUGGUGAAGUUUCCCGUUGUUUGGUUUUCUGUUUGGUUUUUUUUUCUUAUACCAACUUUUUUAUUUCCACGCGGCCGCCUAAGGGCACUUGCUGGCUCCCACCAUUAGUCAGCACUAUUGUUGGACAACUGCUCUGGGAAAACCGGAGAGGAAAGAAACUCCCGUUGUGUACCUAAGAGCCUGUUAAAAGGUCGCAGGUGAAAACCGUUGACUUUGAGGCUACCCAUCUCUACCCUGCAGAGGCAUGUACUGGAACUUCCCUUAGUGGCACAGAGGUUAAGAAUCCGCCUGCCAGUGCAGGGUACAUGGGUUCAAGCCCUGGUCCAGGAAGAUCACACAUGCCACAGAGCAACUAAGCCCAUGGGCCAAAGCUACUGAGCCUGCGCUCUGGAGCCUGUGAGCCACAACUGUUGAGCCCGUGUGCUGCAACUACUGAAGCCCGCGCACCUUGGAGCCUGUGCUCUGCAAGAAGAGAAGCCAUUGCAAUGAGAAACCUGCUCACCCCAACGAAAAGUAGCCCUCGCUCGCUGCAACUAGAGAAAGCCCACGUGCAGAAAUGAUGACCCAACUCAGCCAAUAAGAACUAAGGCCCCCACCUAGGAGGAGGAUGGUAACUUCAGGCUGAGCACAAGAUUCCUAGAACCACCCAGUUACCUCACCAUCAACCAAUCACACACCCUGCAGCCCGCUCCCCAAAUUUGGCCUGUAAAAAUUUCUCUCUAAAAACCAUAAGGGAGUUCAGGGGUUUUUGAGCCUGGGCCACCCAUUCUCCUUACACGGCCCUGCAGUUAACCUUUCUGUGCUCUAAACUCCAACAUUUAGGUUUGUUUAGCCUCACUAUGUGUCUGGCACACGAAGUUGUGUUUAGUAACAGAAGUAUGGGCAGGACCCCAGAAAAUACAGUUUUGUGGAGAGAAUGGAAGAGUGGUGCAUUAGGUAAUGCUCUAAGAAUAUCAUCUGAGGGACUUCCCCAGUGGCACAGUGGUUAAGAAUCUG